rnacentral:rRNA from 1 species
AGUGAACGCUGGCGGUAGGCCUAACACAUGCAAGUCGAACGGCAGCACAGUAAGAGCUUGCUCUUACGGGUGGCGAGUGGCGGACGGGUGAGGAAUACAUCGGACUCUACUUUUUCGUGGGGGAUAACGUAGGGAAACUUACGCUAAUACCGCAUACGACCUACGGGUGAAAGCAGGGGAUCUUCGGACCUUGCGCGAUUGAAUGAGCCGAUGUCGGAUUAGCUAGUUGGCGGGGUAAAGGCCCACCAAGGCGACGAUCCGUAGCUGGUCUGAGAGGAGGAUCAGCCACACUGGAACUGGACCACGGUCAAUACUCCUACGGGAGGCAGCAGUGGGGAAUAUUGGACAGUGGGCGCAAACCUUGUCCAGUCGUACCGCGUGGGUGAAGAAGGCCUUCGGGUUGUAAAGCCCUUUUGUUGGGAAAGAAAAGCAGCAGGUUAAGACCCCGCUGUUCUGACGGUACCCAAAGAAUAAGCACCGGCUAACUUCGUG